rnacentral:rRNA from 1 species
GUCAUGAAUACAUAGUGGCAUGAAGGGCGAACCGGGGAAACUGAAACAUCUAAGUCACCCCGAAGGAAAAGAAAUCAACGACGAUUCCCCCAGUAGCGGCGAGCGAACGGGAGGAGCCCAGAACCUGAAUCGGCUUGUGUGUUAGUGGAAGCGUCUGGAAAGUCGCGCAGCAAAGGGUGAUAGCCCCGUACACUAAAUGCACAGGUCGUGAGUUCGAUGAGUAGGGCGGGACACGUGACAUCCUGUCUGAAUAUGGGGGACCAUCCUCCAAGGCUAAAUACUCCUGACUGACCGAUAGUGAACCAGUACCGUGAGGGAAAGGCGAAAAGAACCCCGGCGAGGGGAGUGAAAUAGAACCUGAAACCGUGUACGUACAAGCAGUGGGAGCACCUUCGUGGUGUGAUGCGUACCUUUUGUAUAAUGGGUCAGCGACUUAUAUUUUGUAGCAAGGUUAACCGUAUAGGGGAGCCGUAGGGAAACCGAGUCUUAACUGGGCGACUAGUUGCAAGGUAUAGACCCGAAACCCGGUGAUCUAGCCAUGGGCAGGUUGAAGGUUGGGUAACACUAACUGGAGGACCGAACCGACUAAUGUUGAAAAUUAGCGGAUGACUUGUGGCUGGGGGUGAAAGGCCAAUCAAACCGGGAGAUAGCUGGUUCUCCCCGAAAGCUAUUUA